rnacentral:tRNA from 1 species
UCCACUGCUUAGUUAGUAAAAGCACAAAGCUCUUAACCUUGUGGACGUGGGUUCAAAGCCCGAUGGUGGAG